rnacentral:rRNA from 1 species
GAUGAACGCUGGCGGCGUGCCUAAUACAUGCAAGUCGAGCGAACAGACGAGGAGCUUGCUCCUCUGACGUUAGCGGCGGACGGGUGAGUAACACGUGGAUAACCUACCUAUAAGACUGGGAUAACUUCGGGAAACCGGAUCUAAUACCGGAUAAUAUAUUGAACCGCAUGGUUCAAUAGUGAAAGACGGUUUUGCUGUCACUUAUAGAUGGAUCCGCGCCGCAUUAGCUAGUUGGUAAGGUAACGGCCUACCAAGGCGACGAUGCGUAGCCGACCUGAGAGGGUGACCGGCCACACUGGAACUGAGACACGGUCCAGACUCCUACGGGAGGCAGCAGUAGGGAAUCUUCCGCAAUGGGCGAAAGCCUGACGGAGCAACGCCGCGUGAGUGAUGAAGGUCUUCGGAUCGUAAAACUCUGUUAUUAGGGAAGAACAAAUGUGUAAGUAACUAUGCACGUCUUGACGGUACCUAAUCAGAAAGCCACGGCUAACUACGUG